UAAGAUAAGUCUUAUAAAAUAUAUAGAUUUAUGAUAAUUGAGUCUGAGCUAACAGAUGAGAAUCCUAGUCAUUGGCCAAGCAGCAUUGUAUGUAAUAGAAGUUUCUGUGUAUUCAUUUGGGCCCUAACUCAGGUCGGUGGCUGGUACAAAGCUUACACUUGGCAGUGCGGCUCAGCGGCUUUUGGUGGAAAGAUUUAUCGUAACACAGAUGUAGUUGGAUGUUGAGGACAAAAUGGUGGAGGUUGGUUAGGCAGGAUCUAAACCAGUGGGGGCUUCUUAUCGCUCAGCUUUCAUAAGGGCACUGAAUGUUAGCAAAUUUACAUAAGAAAACCCCCUGUUGUAAGGCACACGAAAGUUCCUAGUGAAGAAAGAUUUUAUAUCAUGAAUGUGGGCAAAUGAUCAAUAGUUAUCUUGUUCCUAAUGAAAAACUUCACACGGGGUCAGGCCAUGUUCCUGUAGCACCUGUGCGAAAGCCUAUCACAGCUAAUACUUCUUCAGCAUGAGAGUCAGCAAGGGAGGAAGUGUUAUUAGUUCACCAAGUGUGGGAAGUUCUGUAGGCAACCUUCUGAUAUUAUUAUCCACUAGAGAGUUAUAAACAAUUUACCAGUGUGACAGUGACUUUGGGGAAUGCCCUAACCACAAUUCUUACCUUGCUGUACUCUGAAGAAUCCAUAUCACUCCCAGGCUUUAUACAUGCAACCAACAUGGGAAAGCCUUUAGACACAACACGGAAUUGUUCAACAUCAGCGAGUUCACACGGAAUAAAAGGUUCAUAAGUGUAGUGACUGUGGAAGAGCCUUCAGCAGGAAGUGCAGACUUGUUGAGCAUCACGACAUCCACAGCACAGGAACAGCUGGCCUUAUUUCACAUCAAAGAGUUCACAUGGGUGAAUAGCCAUAUGAGUGCAUCCAUUGUGGGAAAUGUUUUAUCCAAAGCUCUACCCUUAACCUGCAUCAGAGUUCUCACUGGAGAAAGACCUCAUAAAUGCAGUGAGUGUGGGAAAGGCUUCUUCAGCCUUAAGUUAACACUUACUCCACCCCAGAGAAUCAUAAUGAAGAGAAAUCUUACAGGUGCAGUGAAUGUGGGAAGGUCUUCACCCACAAGUCCAGCCUCCUUAAACUCCAAAGGGUCCACACUGAAGGAGUCCUUAAGCCAAAGACUCUCCCUUCUUUGGUAAUAGGAAAGUCACUUUGAAUGAAGGCCUUGGAGUUCAGGAAGCAUGUGCCCUACUCAGGCACUUUAAUGAGGAAUAUGUAGCACAGAUAACUGUGAACGUGCCCUUUGUGAUAUAGCCAUCAAGCCCCAGUUGACUCCCAUUUGGACAUCCACACUGCAGACAUGGCUGUGGGUGACAGGUGAGAAGCAUCAGUCACUGCAUUACACUUUUCCAUCUGCACAAAGUCCUCUUCAGGGUGACAUCACUGUUGCUAGUUGUGGCUGAGGCCGUCCCACCUCUACUUGCCAGCAUGCAUCGGGUUUUUCAGUCCUUAGAGAACCCUGAUGUGUACUGCCUCAUGUGUUAUCCCUGGAGGAGAGCAGGCAUGGAUAAACACAUUAUAGUUUGCCACAUCUCCAUCCACAGCCUGGUUUUGGGUAAUAUAAAUGGAGGGUAGCAAAUCUAGAAUGUUGGCUUCUGGAAUGCUCUCAUCACUCUAGCUGUAGCAGUUGAGGGUGAACAGAUAGUCUCAGGCCUUUCCUGAUUCCUGAUUGUUUCUCUGUAGAUACUUGGUAAUGUCAGAUGUUCAAAUGUUCCGGGAUUGCUAAGGCUGCACAGGCCAGAAAG
rnacentral:lncRNA from 1 species